UCUGGGAGUAAACGGGUGGUACCCGAAAGUUGAAAGGGGAGAUUCAAAUCGCGGCGGACGCGAGCAGAGAUGGCGUUUUCCGCGGUCGAGGGGCGACUCUCGGCCCACGGGAGCGCCACUCCGCGGCCACUGUCUCUCCCAGCGUCGGAGUGACGCACUUCUCCCCGAGUAGGACGUCGCGACUCGUCGAGCGCCGGCCUAAGGCCGCGGGUGGAGUCUGCGAGGCCUGUCUCUCCGCGAGGGGAGGCCGACCGCGCAUGACCCCGUGAGUCCCGGCCGGGAGCGCAACGGUACGAAGCACGGAAGGAGUCGACGCGCAGAAACUCUGUUUCUUGGCGUCCGGCCCUCCGCAAGGGCUGCGGGCCCGGCCUGAUCCCGGUCCCUUCGCGGGGAUGUUUGCGAGGUGUCUUCGGACGGCGUUGAUUCUCGAGUCGGCGACGCUUCAGCUUGGUUGGUCUACUCGACCC
rnacentral:rRNA from 1 species